AUUGAACGCUGGCGGCAGGCCUAACACAUGCAAGUCGAGCGGUUGACGGGAGCUUGCUCCCUGAUUCAGCGGCGGACGGGUGAGUAAUGCCUAGGAAUCUGCCUAUUAGUGGGGGACAACGUUUCGAAAGGAACGCUAAUACCGCAUACGUCCUACGGGAGAAAGCAGGGGACCUUCGGGCCUUGCGCUAAUAGAUGAGCCUAGGUCGGAUUAGCUUGUUGGUGAGGUAAUGGCUCACCAAGGCGACGAUCCGUAACUGGUCUGAGAGGAUGAGAAGUCACACUGGAACUGAGACACGGUCCAGACUCCUACGGGAGGCAGCAGUGGGGAAUAUUGGACAAUGGGCGAAAGCCUGAUCCAGCCAUGCCGCGUGUGUGAAGAAGGUCUUCGGAUUGUAAAGCACUUUAAGUUGGGAGGAAGGGUUGUAGAUUAAUACUCUGCAAUUUUGACGUUACCGACAGAAUAAGCACCGGCUAACUCUGUGCCAGCCGCCGCCGUAA
rnacentral:rRNA from 1 species